rnacentral:rRNA from 1 species
AUUGAACGCUGGCGGCAUGCCUUACACAUGCAAGUCGAACGGCAGCACGGGAGCAAUCCUGGUGGCGAGUGGCGAACGGGUGAGUAAUAUAUCGGAACGUGCCCGGUCGUGGGGGAUAACGUAGCGAAAGCUACGCUAAUACCGCAUACGAUCUACGGAUGAAAGCGGGGGAUCGCAAGACCUCGCGCGAUUGGAGCGGCCGAUAUCAGAUUAGGUAGUUGGUGAGGUAAAGGCUCACCAAGCCGACGAUCUGUAGCUGGUCUGAGAGGACGACCAGCCACACUGGGACUGAGACACGGCCCAGACUCCUACGGGAGGCAGCAGUGGGGAAUUUUGGACAAUGGGCGCAAGCCUGAUCCAGCAAUGCCGCGUGCAGGAUGAAGGCCUUCGGGUUGUAAACUGCUCUUGUACGGAACGAAACGGUGAGCUCUAAUACAGUUUGCUAAUGACGGUACCGUAAGAAUAAGCACCGGCUAACUACGUG